GAAGCGGCUGGUCGAGCGGGGCGUGGUCGGGGACUUCCGUUCCCCGGACAUCCUGCGGUUCGGCUUCACUCCGCUGUAC
rnacentral:tRNA from 1 species